CCUACGGGGUGCAGCAGUGAGGAAUAUUGGUCAAUGGCCGGGAGGCUGAACCAGCCAAGCCGCGUGAAGGACGAAGGUGCCAAGCAUUGUAAACUUCUUUUGUCAAGGGACAAAAUCAGGCUCGAGAGCCUGACCGAGGGUACUUGAAGAAAAAGCAUCGGCUAACUCCGUGCCAGCAGCCGCGGUAAUACGGAGGAUGCGAGCGUUAUCCGGAUUUAGUGGGUUAAAAGGGUGCGUAGGCGGGCUGUUAAGUCAGCGGUAAAAGCCCGGGGUUCAACCCCGGCGAGCCGUUGAAACUGGCUGUGUUGAGAUGUCGAGAGGUAUGCGGAAUGCGCAGUGUAGCUGUGAAAUGCUUAGAUAUUGCGCAGAACUCCGAUUGCGAAGGCAGCAUACCGGCGGCGAUCUGACGCUGAGGCACGAAAGCGUGGGUAUCGAACAGGAUUAGAUACCCGAGUAGUC
rnacentral:rRNA from 1 species